UGUUUAAAAAAUUGCAUACUGCGGUUCAAAAUUGAAACACUAAUUCAAAAAUAGAAACAAUUUUAAAAGGGCUGGGGUGUGGCUCAGUGGUGGAGCGCUUUCCCUGCAUGCAUGGGUUCUGGCUUUGAUCCCCAGCACUGCCACAAACAAAAUCACACAAAAAAAUGGAGAAAAAAAACCCCGGCGCACCUACCAAGAAGAAGGUCAGAGGGAGUGGGCGGCAGCCCGCCCUCUGUUUCCAGGGUGCUCACUGCUGGGGCAGGCAGGAGGUCACACUGUGAAACCUCCCCUCUCUGGAAGUCCUGAGGGUGAACUUGACCUUCUCCACUCCCACCUCGACCUCUCCCCGCCCCUGCACCUGGAGUCUCAGCCCGUAUCUCCGUGGUCUGUAAGGUCAGCAGGCUCUAAACACAAUGUUGAGAGCGUUUCUACUCCUAGAGUAAAGAGGCAGUCGGGCCACUCACAGGAUUCAUCAUCUGGGGCUUUCUAGGGAGCCUGGGCCUCAGCUAAAACCCAGAGCAUCUGUUGGGAGCCCAGAUGGGCAGUGCUGUCCUCAUUCAUUUACUCAACAAUAGUUUUGAACCUCAGACAGAGAUGCCCUCUUUCAUUCCAGAUCAAUUCUUUCUUUUCUAAACCAGGUAAGGUUGGAAAAGGUUGGUUGGCAAAUUAAAUAAUAGAGGAAAGAAUUUUAUAAAACCCAGGUGACUUGUAAGCUUCAGAGGCAGCCAUAACUACUGACUCAGCCCUGAGGCCCCUUCUUCUACUGGCCAAACUUUUGUUUUUUCAGAACGAAUGUUAUGAUUUAUUGAUUAUUAUUAUUAUUGCUUUUUGUUUUUUGGUACUGGGGAUUGAACCAGAGGCACUAACCACUGAGCAACAUCCUCAGCCCUUUUUAUUUUUAUUUUUUUGAGACAGAGUCUUGCUAAGCUGAUUAGGGCCUUGCUCCUGCUGUUGCCGAGACUCACUUCUAACUUGAAAUCCUCCUGCGUCAGCCUCCUAUAAUUUGUUGAUUGUAAAAAAGAAAUAAGUGAGGUAAUGUGGGGUUAAGAACAAACUCUAUGAGACAGGAAGUAGACGAACUCUUGCUCUAACCCCAGUGGCUUCUGGUCACCAGGCCAGCCUCCUGGGCUGCUGCCAUCUGCAGGAAUGCGCUCACUCAGGAAAACUCACAGAGAAGCCAUGAAGAAGGAGUCACCUAUCUCUAAUGACUUAGCAAAUGCAACCUUUAAAGAAGGAAUUUGAAGGGAGAGAAACAUCUGAGAAAUGGUGCUACAGGUCCUCCCUGAGGGGAGCAGUUCUUGCAGGGGGGACAGCUGUUCUCUGAUUCUGCCAGCCCAAGGGGCUUCAAAAGCAGGUGUGGAAAGUCAAGGCAGUGAGAACAGGUUUAUCCUCUCCCCCACCCAGGAUCCUACCAGAAUGGUCCUAGAGGAACAGCAUGAACCCAAAGCAAUCAGGAAGAAGAGGGCCAUUAAGUGCAUAAGGACCCUCAGUUAGUUUCUCAGUGGAAACUGGAUGUUGAUUAUUCGUGAUUGUAACCUUGAAGAAAAACAGGAGGUCAUGCCCAAAGCAGAGAACUGUGUCUUCAGCAGAAUACUGGGCUGGGGAUCUUUUAUUUUUAGCUAAUGGAAAAAGAGAGACAGGGUGGGGGACAGAGAGGGGGAGGAAGAUGGGGGAAGGGAGGUGAAAAUGUCUACAGAGAACAACUAGCCCUUCUUGUCUAUCCCAUGAAACACCAGGAACAGAGCAGCCAUCCAGAAGGUACCACCCCACCCCAGCGCACACCCAUUUCCUCUGUUAAGACAUUGGAGGUGCCUGGGGAACGCAGCAGUUAGUAUAAAUAUUGGCAGGUUCUGGGAGGCUGGAGCACCCAUGCCUGGUGACCCGAUCACCCCAAACCACGGCCAGCCCCGGGCCACCCUCAGCCUCUGACCCCAAACACACAUUUCUCUGCUCUUAAAGGAUGUUAGAUGUUUUGCAAAACCCUGAGAAAUGGAGGAGCAAGACUAAAAUAAAGAGAUGGAGAACUCCUGUGGAAUAAUCAAAUAGUUUAAGGUAGCAAAAGAGAACUCAGAAAUGGAGCCUCGUCAGUGUUCUCAUGGGGCCCGAGAGUCUGUUUUUACAAAAUCGUGAUAAAGUGUGCGAAUGAAAGGAAGAACUGGAUUAAUAAAGCUCUUAGCGGUUAAAAGCAGAUGGCCAGGUCAGCCUCUUCAUCUCCCAGGUACUUGAUGGAGCCUCUGCCGACGUCUUCAGAGGUGUUCUGCACCGUGGGCAGCGGAAGCUUCUGGGGCCUGAGUACCGUUCAGAGCACAGGCUGGACACCGGCACGUUCCCCAAGUGGCCUGAGGACAGAUCCACAAAGGGACCUUACAGAGAAGUGAGCAGGGUGCAGAAGGGCAGGAGCUUAGCAUGGCCUGGCCUCCGGUGAUGGCGAGGCCCUGUUGCCACCCCAGGCCCGAUGGGGAGACAGGCAGCCCAGGGGGAGGGGGAGGAGGAAAAGCCUGGAGGAACGGACACCUGUGUGGAGCUCCCAGCUGGGCAGAGGCGGGUGGUGCAGGCCACCCCUGGAGGAGAUGCGCGGCCCUGACUCCAGCCUGCCUCCGACCUGCUGGUCACCUCCAUCCCCAACACCAGGCAUGGCGAAGGACUCUCAGGGGCAAGGAGGGUGGUUCUGGACAGGCCCAGCCCAGCCCAAGGCUCAUAGUUCAGCAGUGGCCUACAUGGGUGUCAAAGUCUAAGUCACAGGUCCACUCCCUUCAGCACGUGCAAGUCUGUACUGCUGAUAUAUCUGUUCCGAAUUCUGACAUCAGGCUGAGAUCCCUGUUUCUCCCUCCGACGUCUUUUCAGACUUACCCCCUUGCCUAGAUCCUGCACAUCUCACCCCCAUGCAUUUAGGCAGAGGUUUUGUAUUCUGUCAGUUUAAGGUUUUCCAACACCUGAGGUUCCUAACUCCUCUUUGGGGAAGUUCUUGGUCAUCAUCUAUCCCUCUCUCUUUUUAAAAAUUCUCCUUUUGGAAUUUCUAGCACAUGGAUUUGACACUUCUCUAUUCACUUGACUUCUCAUGAACAGUUUUUUCAUUUUCUUAAGCUUCCUUGAUACUUUUUGGGAGGUUUCUUAAUCUGAUAUUCUCACCCAGUGAUUUCUUCCUUUGCUGGGUCCAUUCUACUCUUUGUCCCAACCUACAGUGCUUUCAUUCCAUUCUGCAUUUUGCAGGUCAAGUUCACCCACUUGGUCAUUGACUUAGAUGUCCUUCUCCUCUUCCUGCUACCAGAACACUCUCACUCUCUGGGAGCACGUUCCUCAUGCCUACUUCAAUUCUUGAGUUCCUCAUUCAUUUAUUAUGCCUGGUGACUGUGGAUUGGGUUGCCACUGACUUUAAUGGCAGCUGUGUUCCUCAGAACUCUCCUAACUUACCAAUGGUGCUGAAGAUCUAACCCAGAGCCUCACACAUGCUAGGCAAGUGCUUUACCACUGAGCCACAACUCCAACCCCAAUAACUCAUACUUUUGACGGUGGCCUUAUUAAGGGCCCUGAGGUGGGAAGAAUCUCAUGAUCUCUGCCCUUGAUGUUUGCUGUUUCUCAAGAUGGCAGAAUACAUGUAUGGAAACAUAGGAGCAAAGCACGGGUGGGAAGAGAGACAGGCAUGUUACCAUGGAUACUCGGAGCCAGUGCCCGCGGAGUCGGGCAGACAGCAGGGAAACAGGGGGACUGGACAGCUGAGACCAGCCAUGGGGUUGCUGUGGUCUGGGGGAGAAGUCGUGUUCCAGGUAAGGAAAAUGCUGUCAAUAGAGAUUCCUGACGUGGUGAGGGAGCAUUCUGCAGGAAUUAGAAUAAGACAGUUUUGAGUCAAGGUCAUCUAUUCAGUGUAAGACUGGUGUAUGGAGGUCAGAUGGUGCAGAAAUGGCCCAGAGCAGUCACCUAUGGGGAAGGUGGUCACCAGGGAUGGUUGAGGGGGCUUCUGGGUGGAUGGUGGGGCAGAGAAGAAUGAGAUUUCACAGGCCAGGGUCAAAAAGGCACCAUGAUCUGACCAUGUUUCCCACCAAUGCCAAAGAGAAAAACAGAUGAGCAGAGAUGAGGAUUACAAAGAGGUGUCUCCUGAAGACAUAGCUGUUCUGCUUUAUUAAUGGGACAAAGUGAUGAGAAGCAGAAGACAGGGUGGGAGGGAGCCGACCUGCUCAGGACCAGUGGGGGUGGUGGGUCACCUGCGUCACCAGGCACGCGGGGGCUGGGAAACAUGCAGGACAGGCUUGUGUGUGUACGCGGGACGGAGGGGCGUCCUUCGUGUUGUUGCAGCUGGAGCCUGCGUGUGGCCGAGGUUGGGGACCACUUGCCCAGAGUGAGGUCUCUGGUUUCCACAUCUGGGGCUCUGGCCCCUGCAGAAGACCUUUAGGAACUCAGCAUGCUUGGGAAAUGCAAGAGGAGAAAUGCUCGACACCACAACUGCCGGAGAUGACCCAAGUGCUGUCCCCUAGUUAGGGCCAACACCCGUCUCCCCAGCAGCUCUAUCCUGGACAUCAGCCCAUGUCGCAAGACAGAUGAGGUCAGAUACGGAGCUAAGUCUCUUCCAAGAUGUCAGUGUUUACUGGGAGGAGAAAGGCAAAGAAAUGCCCCGAUCUUUAUGUUUUCUGAGCCGUCUCCCUGUGUGGUAGACAGAGCAGGGCGUGUUUUCCUGAAGAGCUCUCUCCAGGUGCCUAGGGCACGCACCCUCAUGGCACACGUCUCCGGCACUGCUCCUGCACUGCCUUCUGUUGUGGCCUGCGAGCUCCUUGGUCCUCGUGUCCCCCUGUAUCGUGUACGUGUGGCUAGACUUCUGUGUGUCCGGUGCAGGCUCCCUCGUUUCGCCCUCCCUGGGUCCCAGAACCUGGAUGGCGGGUGAAGACGCGUGGCUCUGUGCUUCACUAAGUCCUGGGGCGUCAUUAAGCCAAUGGCAGCUCUGACUCUGUGGGUCAAGAGGCGUCUGGGCUGCGCGGAUGCUGGGCUCAUGGCCUUGCCCAGUGAGGCUCCCCAGCUCAUCCGAGACCCGCAUUAGGAGGCUAGGGUUGGUCUUCAUUUCACCUCUUCUGAAAGCGGAGCUCUCUGUUUGAGGACCCAGGUGUCUGGCUUGGUGCUGCCUCAGCUCUGCCUGCUCCUGUGGAUGCCAGCACUUUCCUGCCCUGGCACAGUGAUAAAGGAAAGGGGUGAAGUCCCGCGGGGCACCUUGGUUCCCAGUAUUUGCCACACCAAAAUCAUUCAAGCUCUUUCCUGUGAACAUCUCCUCCUUCCCCAGGCCUCUGACUGGAAAUGCCUUACCCCCAGCUCCAGAAACUUCCAUGACUAGUGGAAGCCCAGUGGUUGGCUCAGGGAUGAACACAUGGCCAGCAAGUCAGUCCAGGUGUGUCCUGCCCGAUAGGAAUGGAAAGCCUUAGCUUUCCUGUGCUCCUGGGAUCAGGGCCCCGUGACAGUCUUGGGAAUGGCAACUGAAGAAGUGAGACCCAGAGGAGGAGAAGACCCUAGACCCCGAGUCCAGAGUCAUCCAGCGAGAUCAGAUCCAGGGGUGUUCAGAUACGUGUGCCAAAAAAUUUAAUUCAGCUCAAGCCAUUUAUAAUUUAUUUUUAUCACUUGCCAUUAAGAAAAUACAAUCAGCUGAAUGUGUAUUUCCCUCACCACUUGGAAUCUGAAGUGCAGAGGGAUCCCUGGAGUUCUGCCUGAGGCUCAUUCAACACAUCUGUUUGGGGCUUGUUCUGAACCAGAAAUGCUGCUGGUUCUGGAAUCCAGUGGUGAACCAAGCAGAUGUGUCCUCUGCUGGGAGGCUGGACACUGGAAAAGGAAAGGUCACCUGGAAUCAAGGCAGGAAGAGUCACAGAGGUAAAGAGCUGUCAGCAGGAGGACAGGCAGGCUUUGCCGGUGCCUGGUGCUGGGCGGGCAGAGAGCUGGACCCAGGCUCCCGGCACGUGAGAGGUAGACUGCGCACCACCUACAGAGGCAGAGAGUCUGGAGGGGAGCAGGAGUCCGCCUGCUAGACAUGUCCAGCUGACUUGCCUUUAGACCUCCAAGGGACCCCCAAGCCAAGUAAACGGAUGGGUAAACACUAAAAGUCCUCCUUGACAAGUGGCUUCAAUUGCCACUCAAUUAUUUCAUGCUUAAUAUUGUGUGGCUCGCAUUUAUGUCUUGUCUUGCCAAACAAUCCACAGGCCCCUGGGCAGGGGAAGGAAUAGGAUAUGUAUAUUUAUAUAUGGGAACCAAAGCACAGGGCUUUGAAUAUCACAGCGAUGCAGUCUGAGUUGGUGGAUUUGAGUUGACAUGUCCCUUUCUUUUGUACCCAAGAGUCAUGUGGAUUUAUUUUCACUCUGUAUUUAUAAACAACUGAAAUGCUCUCUAGGCAAACAAGGCUGUGGUCUUGAAUCAUUGCUCUUGAGAUAGCUCAUGUUUUAUAUCUCUCGAACAUGAAAGUUCUGAAGAUUCGGAUGGGCAGCUCAGAUCUUCCAAAGACCAAACAUUUUGGCCAACGGGAAGAUGGAAGAUGGGCCUGACUGAAGCUCUGCAUGUGGACUCACCUCUGUUGGUGAUGAGUGUGAUGAGAGUCUGAACGCAACCACUGGGUUCACCCCAAGAAGACGGACUUUCUCGUGAGGGUGGAUGACGUUCGUUGUGACCUGGAGCAAACACCGUGGUGUCGCCCACACCCACGGUGCCCUUAGUCAUGUAUGCAGUGUGGACAGAGCAGGGCCAGGAAGGCAGCUGUUGGUGGAGUCAGCUUGGGUGGGCUGCGUCAUCACUCUGCAUCUCAAGUUCAUGAUUCACAGAUGAAGGUGACACGAUUCAGAGAGAUUAAAAGUUUAAAACCAAAAAAUCAGAAAUGUAAAGCACAGCAUUUCAAUUUUUCUACACACAUGAUUUUCAAAAGAAAAAAAAAGGGACAGAUGAGAUGCAUAAUUAAAUAAAAAUAAACAGAGUCUAAGUUUUCUUUUAGCAAAAACAAUAGAGAGUUGAGAUACAUGAUAAAAAUAAAUGUGUUUAGGUAAAGGACUAAUUUAAAUUGGAAUAGUUCAAGCAAAAUUUUAUCUCCAUUAGCUAUUUGGAACCAUUUACCUGAUGCUUACCUGACCUUCUCAAAUCAUGGAGAGAAUGAAACUCAAGACCUAAAAGGAAAGCAGAUAUUUUUAUUUGUCCACUGUGAUUGAAGUAUAAAAUAGUAAUUGAAUUUUAAAUUUUAAAAUUUCCAGACUUAAAAAUUAUUGUUGCCUCAUGAUUAUAAAGAUAAAAUGGAAAAGACAGAAAAUAGAUAAACCCACUUGUAUUUGGCAUUAAAAUUCAAGUGCAUUUAAAUCGCACCAUAACUGUGCUUGGUGGUGGAAUUUUCUUACUUUGCCAAAACAGCGACGUUGUGCUGAUGUACUCAUUAGAGUGACAUGCAUUUAUUAAGUAGAUGCUGUGGCUGAUACUCU
rnacentral:lncRNA from 1 species